rnacentral:rRNA from 1 species
UCCGUAGGUGAACCUGCGGAGGGAUCAUUACACAAUAUGAAAGCGGGUUGGGACCUCACCUCGGUGAGGGCUCCAGCUUGUCUGAAUUAUUCACCCAUGUCUUUUGCGCACUUCUUGUUUCCUGGGCGGGUUCGCCCGCCACCAGGACCAAACCAUAAACCUUUUUGUAAUUGCAAUCAGCGUCAGUAAACAAUGUAAUUAUUACAACUUUCAACAACGGAUCUCUUGGUUCUGGCAUCGAUGAAGAACGCAGCGAAAUGCGAUACGUAGUGUGAAUUGCAGAAUUCAGUGAAUCAUCGAAUCUUUGAACGCACAUUGCGCCCUUUGGUAUUCCAAAGGGCAUGCCUGUUCGAGCGUCAUUUGUACCCUCAAGCUUUGCUUGGUGUUGGGCGUCUUUGUCUCUCACGAGACUCGCCUUAAAAUGAUUGGCAGCCGACCUACUGGUUUCGGAGCGCAGCACAAUUCUUGCACUUUGAAUCAGCCUUGGUUGAGCAUCCAUCAAGACCACAUUUUUUUCAACUUUUGACCUCGGAUCAGGUAGGGAUACCCGCUGAACUUAAGCAUAUCAAUAAGCGGAGGAA